GACUCACCACAUUUCUCUCUCUCUCUGAAGCUGGGCUUGGAGGGGAUUUUCUUUUCCAGACUGCAGAGGUCUUUGCUGGCCGGGAGCAGACCUGCUGUGAGCGAGAGCCCUGCAGCUGAUAAUGGAAGCGAUUCUAACAAUGCUGUCCCUCGCCCCCGCUAUGUGCUGAUCUGAUAUGUUUGACGGCUAAUAAAACAGUGCUACAGACCACAGGCUCUUUCCUUUCUCAUGAUGAGGCCUUCCGGGAUCUCCCACAUUCUUCCAGUAUCUGCUUCCCUGAAAGUCAGCAUAAUUUCACCAUCUUCCAGUAGGAUCUUAUAAGUACACUGUAUCUCUGCAAACCUAACCCAAUUACAGAUACCAAGCAAGAGGCUCCAGCCUGCUUUGAGGUCAGCCUUGUCAAAAGGAAAAAUGUUCAGCUGCCAGUGGUUUGCACUAAUAAUCUCAUUUCAGAACUGCUGAAACACUUUACUGGAGUGCAAGGACAAAGUGGACUGAGGCAGCUCCGAAACAAGGGGAAAGGAAAAAAUGCAACAAGUCUUGUUACUGGUUAUUAACGUCAUGCCAGCAGCUGGCACAAAUACUGUAUAACACAUUUUAAUAGGUUCACAAUUUACUAACAGAGAGGUUAACAUGGACUGUAUAUGAACAGCAGAAGGCAGCACUGCUGUUUAGCCCCAAAUGUCAAAGAUGCUGCUUAUUUAGGUGAACUGCAGAAGGAAAGGGAAACAUGGAAUUACACAAGCAACAGGUACUAAGUGCCCCUUUAGCCAGGUCAAGGUCCUUCCCCGAUAGACAUGGUAGCAGGAGCAAUCACUGUCACCCAGAUAGUUAAGAUAAAAAGUGCAUGAAAGCAGUCUGAACACUGGCCUAGUAACCAAGGUAUGCAGGUGCUGAUGUGAUAAUGUGAGUGUUACCAAGAAGCCUUCGUUAAUCCCUGUGCGUAUAGCAUUUUAAUUUUGUAGUUUGUAUUGCUAGACUCAUGCUGCCUAGUGCUGACAUCUUCCACACUUGAACCCAGCCUGAAAUAGGCAAAACUUAAGCAUGGCCAAAAUGCUGAGUAACACGGGGCUGCAUGCAUGGUAAUGAUACCUAAAAGCCUCUUUUUUUUUGAUCUCAUGACACUGCACAUUCACCCGUCUCAAAA